AAUAGAUACCCGGGUAGUCCACGCCCUAAACGAUGUCUACUAGUUGUCGGGGGGUAACUCCUUCGGUAACGCAGCUAACGCGUGAAGUAGACCGCCUGGGGAGUACGGUCGCAAGAUUAAAACUCAAAGGAAUUGACGGGGACCCGCACAAGCGGUGGAUGAUGUGGAUUAAUUCGAUGCAACGCGAAAAACCUUACCUACCCUUGACAUGCCACUAACGAAGCAGAGAUGCAUUAGGUGCCCGAAAGGGAAAGUGGACACAGGUGCUGCAUGGCUGUCGUCAGCUCGUGUCGUGAGAUGUUGGGUUAAGUCCCGCAACGAGCGCAACCCUUGCCAAUAGUUGCUACGAAAGGGCACUCUAUUGGGACUGCCGGUGACAAACCGGAGGAAGGUGGGGAUGACGUCAAGUCCUCAUGGCCCUUAGUGGGUAGGGCUUCACACGUCAUACAAUGGCUGGUACAGAGAGUUGCCAACCCGCGAGGGGGGAGCCAAUCCCACAAAACCAGUCGUAGUCCGGAUUGCAGUCUGCAACUCGACUGC
rnacentral:rRNA from 1 species